rnacentral:rRNA from 1 species
GACGUAGGGUGCAAGCGUUUGUCCGGAUUUAUUGGGCGUAAAGAGCUCGUAGGCGGCUUGUUGCGUCGACUGUGAAAACCCGCGGCUUUAACCGCGGGCUUGCAGUUUGAUACGGGCAGGCUAGAGUUCGGUAGGGGGAGACUGGAAUUCCUGGUGUAGCGGUGAAAUGCGCAGAUAUCAGGAGGAACACCGGUGGCGAAGGCGGGUCUCUGGGCCGAUACUGACGCUGAGGAGCGAAAGCGUGGGGAGCGAACAGG